rnacentral:rRNA from 1 species
GGCUACCAUGCAGUCGAGGGGCAGCAUUUUAGUUUGCUUGCAAACUAAAGAUGGCGACCGGCGCACGGGUGAGUAACACGCUAUCCAACCUGCCGAUAACUCGGGGAUAGCCUUUCGAAAGAAAGAUUAAUAUCCGAUAGUAUAUUAAAACCGCAUGGUUUUACUAUUAAAGAAUUUCGGUUAUCGAUGGGGAUGCGUUCCAUUAGUUUGUUGGCGGGGUAACGGCCCACCAAGACUACGAUGGAUAGGGGUUCUGAGAGGAAGGUCCCCCACAUUGGAACUGAGACACGGUCCAAACUCNUACGGGAGGCAGCAGUGAGGAAUAUUGGUCAAUGGACGAGAGUCUGAACCAGCCAAGUAGCGUGAAGGAUGACUCCCCUAUGGGUUGUAAACUUCUUUUAUAUGGGAAUAAAGUAUUCCACGUGUGGGANUUUUGUAUGUACCAUAUGAAUAAGGAUCGGCUAACUCCGUGCCAGCAGCCGCGGUAAUACGGAGGAUCCGAGCGUUAUCCGGAUUUAUUGGGUUUAAAGGGAGCGUAGGUGGAUUGUUAAGUCAGUUGUGAAAGUUUGCGGCUCAACCGUAAAAUUGCAGUUGAAACUGGCAGUCUUGAGUACAGUAGAGGUGGGCGGAAUUCGUGGUGUAGCGGUGAAAUGCUUAGAUAUCACGAAGAACUCCGAUUGCGAAGGCAGCUCACUAGACUGCAACUGACACUGAUGCUCGAAAGUGUGGGUAUCAAACAGGAUUAGAUACCCUGGUAGUCCACACAGUAAACGAUGAAUACUCGCUGUUUGCGAUAUACAGUAAGCGGCCAAGCGAAAGCAUUAAGUAUUCCACCUGGGGAGUACGCCGGCAACGGUGAAACUCAAAGGAAUUGACGGGGGGCCCCGCACAAGCGGAGGAACAUGUGGUUUNAAUUCGAUGAUACGCGAGGAACCUUACCCGGGCUUAAAUUGCAUUUGAAUAAUCUGGAAACAGGUUAGCCGCAAGGCAAAUGUGAAGGUGCUGCAUGGUUGUCGUCACCUCGUGCCGUGAGGUGUCGGCUUAAGUGCCAUAACGAGCGCAACCCUUAUCUUUAGUUACUAACAGGUNAUGCUGAGGACUCUAGAGAGACUGCCGUCGUAAGAUGUGAGGAAGGUGGGGAUGACGUCAAAUCAGCACGGCCCUUACGUCCGGGGCUACACACGUGUUACAAUGGGGGGUACAGAAGGCAGCUACCUGGCGACAGGAUGCUAAUCCCAAAAACCUCUCUCAGUUCGGAUCGAAGUCUGCAACCCGACUUCGUGAAGCUGGAUUCGCUAGUAAUCGCGCAUCAGCCAUGGCGCGGUGAAUACGUUCCCGGGCCUUGUACACACCGCCCGUCAAGCCAUGAAAGCCGGGGGUACCUGAAGUACGAACCGCAAGAGCUCCAGGNAAU